rnacentral:rRNA from 1 species
UACGAAGGGGGCUAGCGUUGUUCGGAAUUACUGGGCGUAAAGCGCGCGCAGGCGGUUUUUCAAGUCAGUGGUGAAAGCCCGGAGCUCAACUCCGGAAAUGCCAUUGAAACUGUUAAACUUGAGGACGAGAGAGGUGAGUGGAAUUCCCAGUGUAGAGGUGAAAUUCGUAGAUAUUGGGAAGAACACCGGUGGCGAAGGCGGCUCACUGGCUCGUUUCUGACGCUGAGGAGCGAAAGCGUGGGGAGCGAACAGG